rnacentral:rRNA from 1 species
GACGAACGCUGGCGGCGUGCCUAAUACAUGCAAGUUGAGCGCUGAAGGUUGGUACUUGUACCCACUGGAUGAGCAGCGAACGGGUGAGUAACGCGUGGGGAAUCUGCCUUUGAGCGGGGGACAACAUUUGGAAACGAAUGCUAAUACCGCAUAAAAACUUUAAACACAAGUUUUAAGUUUGAAAGAUGCAAUUGCAUCACUCAAAGAUGAUCCCGCGUUGUAUUAGCUAGUUGGUGAGGUAAAGGCUCACCAAGGCGAUGAUACAUAGCCGACCUGAGAGGGUGAUCGGCCACAUUGGGACUGGGACACGGCCCAAACUCCUACGGGAGGCAGCAGUAGGGAAUCUUCGGCAAUGGACGAAAGUCUGACCGAGCAACGCCGCGUGAGGGAAGAAGGUUUUCGGAUCGUAAAACUCUGUUGGUAGAGAAGAACGUUGGUGAGAGUGGAAAGCUCAUCAAGUGACGGUAACUACCCAGAAAGGGACGGCUAACUACGUG